rnacentral:rRNA from 1 species
GACGGGGGGGCAAGUGUUCUUCGGAAUGACUGGGCGUAAAGGGUGCGUAGGUGGCGCCGUAAGUCAGGUGUGAAAUCUCGGGGCUUAACUCCGAAACUGCAUUUGAUACUGCGGUGCUUGAGGACUGGAGAGGAGACUGGAAUUUACGGUGUAGCAGUGAAAUGCGUAGAGAUCGUAAGGAAGACCGGUGGCGAAGGCGGGUCUCUGGACAGUUCCUGACACUGAGGCACGAAGGCCAGGGGAGCAAACGGG